ensembl:lncRNA
AUUUAAUCAAACCGUGCAAUUUACUGGCCCUGUGUGCAUAAAUGGUAUCUUUGUUGUGUUGUGUUUUUGAUUGUAUAUACCUUGUAUUCUAAUAUUUUUAUUUGUCACCCUCAGAUUUGACUGUCCUGAAGCAACAUGUGGAAGAGCCCUCCUCUCCAAGUCUAACAGAUACAUUGUCUGUCUCAACCACCAGCAGUCAGAGCAGUGACACAAGUGAUGCCGGACUUCAAAUGGUUCAGCCUCUAUUGGACAGCAUACAUGAAAGAAAUGUAAAUGAAACCAUUUUUAAGAAGAUACUGGUCCUAGAAAGGGAGAAAGCCUUUCUGACCUCAACUGUUUAGCUGCCAAUAAUGGUGGAUAUUAUGCUAUUACAGUACUGUUACACAGAAUGUAUGUUAAUCCAUGCAGCAUUCAUAUUUGAAUAUGUUAUUUUUGAUAAAUAAAAUCCAUACAUUCAUAAUAAUCACUAUUGUGUUUUUGUAGUAAUUUGCACCAAAAACCUAAAACUUUUUUCAAUUGAUGAGUAACACUACAAAAGAGUUAAUAUCAAACUUAACUCUAGUUAUGAGUUAAAUUUUACUCUAUAUGGU